UCCUGUUCAUAAGCUUAUUGCAGCUCAUAAUGAUAUUACUUAUGUAAAGGAUUUAUUACCUGUCUCCACGAACAUCGUAACAUUUCUAAAUAAAUCCAGUAAGGAUUCUUUAUGGUCCUGGUAUUCCUUCUGGUGAGAGAAAAUGAGCAUAUGAUGGAACAACUCGAGUUUACGGUUUAUUGCAAAAAAAUAAAAUUUCCUAAAACGAAAUUUGGUACUUUUUCGAAGAAGCGGCAUUUGUUGGACUGCGAGGGAAGUUCUGGCUAAAUACCGUUGAAUCAACUUUUUUAUUACACUGUGACUGGUAUUACCUAUAUUUCUUUAACUUCUAUUGAGAUAAAUUACAUAAAUUUCGCAAAUCAGUUGUUAUAAUUUUUCGAAGAAGCUAUAUUUGGUGAAUUGUACUUCAGAGACAAGGUAGGUAGCGAGGACAGAGGGAAUCCGCGACCGUUAAUUGAGAAGAGAGUCUCCACAAGCACGAAGGUGAAAACGAAUCGUCCGAAACCACUACCGCCUCCCCAGGGUCCGAAGAAGCCUCGUCCAGUGAGCAACCAUCACUAGAAGAUGUCCUUGACCCA